AGAGCGAACGCUGGCGGCAGGCUUAACACAUGCAAGUCGAGCGGAUGUAGCAAUACAUCAGCGGCAGACGGGUGAGUAACACGUGGGAACGUACCUUUUGGUUCGGAACAACACAGGGAAACUUGUGCUAAUACCGGAUAAGCCCUUACGGGGAAAGAUUUAUCGCCGAAAGAUCGGCCCGCGUCUGAUUAGCUAGUUGGUGAGGUAAUGGCUCACCAAGGCGACGAUCAGUAGCUGGUCUGAGAGGAUGAUCAGCCACAUUGGGACUGAGACACGGCCCAAACUCCUACGGGAGGCAGCAGUGGGGAAUAUUGGACAAUGGGCGCAAGCCUGAUCCAGCCAUGCCGCGUGAGUGAUGAAGGCCCUAGGGUUGUAAAGCUCUUUUGUGCGGGAAGAUAAUGACGGUACCGCAAGAAUAACGCCCGGCUAACUUCGUGCCAGCAGCCGC
rnacentral:rRNA from 1 species